ACAAAGCAGCCCGACCUGAGUGGAGCUCUUUUUCUUUUUUGGCAAAAAAAGAAAAAAGCGGGAACGGAGGGCGGAUAAAGCU
rnacentral:misc_RNA from 1 species